rnacentral:rRNA from 1 species
GGUAAUACCGGCGCCUCAAGUGGUAGUCGCUUUUAUUGGGCCUAAAACGUCCGUAGCCGGUCUGAUACAUUCGUGGGUAAAUCAACCAGCUCAACUGGUUGAAUUCUGCGAGGACGGUCAGACUUGGGACCGGGAGAGGUGUGGGGUACGCUCAGGGUAGGGGUAAAAUCCUGUCAUCCUGAGCGGACCACCUGUUGCGAAGGCGCCACACUAGAACGGAUCCGACGGUCAGGGACGAAGCCUAGGGGCACGAACCGGAUUAGAUACCCGGGUAGUCCUAGGUGUAAACGCUGUGGACUUGAUGUUGGGGGUGCUCCGAGCACUCUCAGUGUCGAAGCGAAGGUGAUAAGUCCACUGCCUGGGAAGUACGGUCGCAGGUAAUACCGGCGCCUCAAGUGGUAGUCGCUUUUAUUGGGCCUAAAACGUCCGUAGCCGGUCUGAUACAUUCGUGGGUAAAUCAACCAGCUCAACUGGUUGAAUUCUGCGAGGACGGUCAGACUUGGGACCGGGAGAGGUGUGGGGUACGCUCAGGGUAGGGGUAAAAUCCUGUCAUCCUGAGCGGACCACCUGUUGCGAAGGCGCCACACUAGAACGGAUCCGACGGUCAGGGACGAAGCCUAGGGGCACGAACCGGAUUAGAUACCCGGGUAGUCCUAGGUGUAAACGCUGUGGACUUGAUGUUGGGGGUGCUCCGAGCACUCUCAGUGUCGAAGCGAAGGUGAUAAGUCCACUGCCUGGGAAGUACGGUCGCA